UACAGAGGGUGCGAGCGUUAAUCGGAAUUACUGGGCGUAAAGCGUGCGUAGACGGUAGCGUAAGUCAGAUGUGAAAGCCCCGGGCUCAACCUGGGAACUGCAUUUGAGACUGCUCUGCUCGGGUGCGGAAGAGGGAAGCGGAAUUUCCGGUGUAGCGGUGAAAUGCGUAGAUAUCGGAAGGAACACCAGUGGCGAAGGCGGUGGUCUGGGCCGGCACUGACGCUGAGGAGCGAAAGCGUGGGGAGCGAACAGG
rnacentral:rRNA from 1 species